rnacentral:lncRNA from 1 species
UUUUCUUUCUAUUUCGAUUUUUUUAUUUCAUUCCUAUUCUCCUUUCUCAGAAAAAGGGUCUUUAACCAAAGUAAAAGAUUACUUCGUUCUUGAUAGUUAGUUACUUACUCAGUGGAUAGGAACAUACUCUGGAUCAGAAUCAUGGGGAGUACUUCUUGAUCAUUUCUACGAACGUAAAGCCCCAAUUCGAAUUCCUUUUAUGUACAGAAAUAUCCUCUUGGAUAACUUACAUAAUCUCAAUUACUAAUCCUUUGUGUAUCUUGGUCUUCCUUUUAUGUACAGAAAUAUCCUCUUGGAUAACUUACAUAAUCUCAAUUACUAAUCCUUUGUGUAUCUUAGUCUUCCUAACCAUCCACUCAUUUUUUGUUUCAAAAACCUCCCGUUGUGGAAAUCCAUCUAUGGUAAUAGACAGUAAAAACUCCAUAGAGUUGGUCUUUUGAACCCGCUUCAAGCUAUCAUGACAAUUCACGAAUCUUGGGGUAAACAAUCUCUCUUGCUUAUGUUUACUUUUUUCACCAUUUGAUUCUUGUACAUAGGAAAUGAGACUCAACUUUUUUACUGCAAAUUUAGAAGCCGUUUUCUUUCACUCAUAUAACUAUCUGAUUUAGUUCAUCAACUCAAAU